GGCGCGGGUCAGUGGUGGGAGUCCCUGCUCUUCCACGUAUCGGAUUCCACGUGGGAGGACUCUGUCCUUCCAGAAAGGAGGAAAUGACCAAGUUCCAGAUUUGUUGGAUUUAUUGUGAGAUAUUUCUCUGCAUACUUGAUGUGAGCAUCAUUAAGGUACGUAAGAUGGGUUAUUCAUCUUUUAUGCUCUGAUUGCUUUGUUCCCUUUACCAAAAUAUCUACAUGUUUAAUUGGUACAAUAAAUUGUUAAAUU
rnacentral:lncRNA from 1 species